UGCGUAGGCGGUUUGUUAAGUCACUUGUAAAAGAUCUCAGCCCAACUGAGUAAGGCGAGUGAAACUGGCAGACUUGAAUACGGUAGAGGUAAGUGGAAUUCCAUGUGUAGCGGUGGAAUGCGUAGAUAUAUGGAGGAACACCAAUGGCGAAGGCAACUUACUGGGCCGGAAUUGACGCUGAGGCACGAAAGCGUGGGGAGCAAACAGGAUUAGAUACCCUGGUAGUC
rnacentral:rRNA from 1 species